GGACUACACGGGUAUCUAAUCCUGUUUGCUCCCCACGCUUUCGCGUCUCAGCGUCAGCAACGGUCCAGAGAGCCGCCUUCGCCGCCGGUGUUCCUCCUGAUAUCUACGCAUUUCACCGCUACACCAGGAAUUCCACUCUCCUCUACCGCGCUCCAGCUGGCUAGUUUCCGACGCCCUUCCGGAGCUGAGCCCCGGGCUUUCACAUCAGACUUGACCAACCGCCUACACGCCCUUUACGCCCAGUCAAUCCGAACAACGCUUGCACCCUCCGUCUUACCGCGGCGGCUGGCAC
rnacentral:rRNA from 1 species